rnacentral:rRNA from 1 species
GGCGGUCGCCUCCUAAAAGAUAACGGAGGCGCUCAAAGGUUUGCUCAGAAUGGUUGGAAAUCAUUCGUAGCGUGUAAAGGCAUAAGCAAGCUUGACUGUGAGACUGACAAGUCGAGCAGGUACGAAAGUAGGACUUAGUGAUCCGGUGGUUCCGUAUGGAAGGGCCAUCGCUCAACGGACAAAAGCUACCCCGGGGAUAACAGGCUCAUCUCCCCCAAGAGUCCACAUCGACGGGGAGGUUUGGCACCUCGAUGUCGGCUCAUCGCAUCCUGGGGCUGUAGUCGGUCCCAAGGGUUGGGCUGUUCGCCCAUUAAAGCGGUACGCGAGCUGGGUUCAGAACGUCGUGAGACAGUUCGGUCCCUAUCCGUCGUGGGCGCAGGAAAUUUGAGAGGAUCUGUCCUUAGUACGAGAGGACCGGGAUGGACAUACCUCUGGUGUACCAGUUGUUCUGCCAAGAGCACCGCUGGGUAGCUACGUAUGGAUUAGAUAAUCGCUGAAAGCAUCUAAGUGAGAAACUAACCUCGAGAUGAGAUUUCCCAUUCGUCAGAAGUAAGACCCCUGAGAGACGAUCAGGUAGAUAGGCUAGAAGUGGAAGUGUAGUGAUGCAUGGAGCGGACUAGUACUAAUAGGUCGAGGACUUAACCAAG